UCUAAUGUGGCAGAAUAGUGCAAUGAAUUUAAGCUUCAUAUAUAAAGUUAAAACUUUUUUUAGAA
rnacentral:tRNA from 2 species